rnacentral:rRNA from 1 species
AUUGAACGCUGGCGGCAGGCUUAACACAUGCAAGUCGAGCGAGAGGCGGACGGGUGAGUAAUGUCUGGGAAACUGCAUGAUGGAGGGGGAUAACUACUGGAAACGGUAGCUAAUACCGCAUACCAGCAUGUGUGCCAAGAUGGGAUUAGCUAGUAGGUGGUGUAAUGGAUCACCUAGGCGACGAUCCCUAGCUGGUCUGAGAGGAUGACCAGCCACACUGGAACGUAGACACGUGCCAGACUCCUACGGUAGGCAGCAGUGGGGAAUAUUGCACAAUGGGCGCAAGCGUGAUGCAGCCAUGCCGCGUGUGUGAAGAAGGCCUUCGGGUUGUAAAGCACUUUCAGCGAGGAGGCGUUACUCGCAGAAGAAGCACCGGCUAACUCCGUGCCAGCAGCCGCGGUAAUUC